AGUGUAUUACAAUAAGGCUCUUGA
rnacentral:miRNA from 1 species